CCUACGGGUGGCUGCAGUGGGGAAUAUUGCGCAAUGGGCGCAAGCCUGAUGCAGCCAUGCCGCGUGUGUGAAGAAGGCCUUCGGGUUGUAAAGCACUUUCAGCGGGGAGGAAGGCGUUAAGGUUAAUAACCUUGUCGAUUGACGUUACCCGCAGAAGAAGCACCGGCUAACUCCGUGCCAGCAGCCGCGGUAAUACGGAGGGUGCAAGCGUUAAUCGGAAUUACUGGGCGUAAAGCGCACGCAGGCGGUCUGUCAAGUCGGAUGUGAAAUCCCCGGGCUCAACCUGGGAACUGCAUUCGAAACUGGCAGGCUAGAGUCUUGUAGAGGGGGGUAGAAUUCCAGGUGUAGCGGUGAAAUGCGUAGAGAUCUGGAGGAAUACCGGUGGCGAAGGCGGCCCCCUGGACAAAGACUGACGCUCAGGUGCGAAAGCGUGGGGAGCAAACAGGAUUAAUACCCUUGUAGUC
rnacentral:rRNA from 1 species